CGAGAAGGGGAAAGAGGGGAGCUUGGCUAAUUUAAUAUGCCAGCCCUGGCGCCAUGUUCGUUUUGCCUCCAGCCCUGGAGCAGAUAAUUUUCCAGGAUCUUGGCUUUUGCCACGUUACAGCAGCAACAACGAAAGAGGCGCCUCAAUGUCUGCGUUGGCGGCAGAAAGAGAAAGAAAAAGAUAGAGAAGUACAGGGUGUUAGACCAAGACGACAAAUGGAGAAGCGGACGUGGGCUGUGAGCGCCAAAGUGUUAAAUAGACUGCGACCUCUACUUUGGCGAACUGAUCGAUCGAUCGAUUGCUGCACCACCACGUAACCACCAACUGAACUGAGUUCGGAAUGUGGCCCGGUACUUUUCCAUCCAAGGGGUAUGACUAUUUCGAUGACUAUUGUAUUUCAUAUAGUAUAUAGUUUAUACUACAGAGCUUACACACGCUACGGGAUAAGAGGGUUCUUAUUAUAAACGUAUGAGUCGAUCCACAAAAAGCUGUAAGAACUAGUUUAAACUAAAAAAUCUCAUUUUAUUUUGCGAAAAAAUUCAAAAUUAAAAAGUUUA